rnacentral:rRNA from 1 species
UACGAAGGGGGCUAGCGUUGCUCGGAAUCACUGGGCGUAAAGGGUGCGUAGGCGGGUCUUUAAGUCAGGGGUGAAAUCCUGGAGCUCAACUCCAGAACUGCCUUUGAUACUGAGGAUCUUGAGUUCGGGAGAGGUGAGUGGAACUGCGAGUGUAGAGGUGAAAUUCGUAGAUAUUCGCAAGAACACCAGUGGCGAAGGCGGCUCACUGGCCAGAUACUGACGCUGAGGCACGAAAGCGUGGGGAGCAAACAGG